rnacentral:rRNA from 1 species
AUUGAACGCUGGCGGCAUGCUUUACACAUGCAAGUCGAACGGUAACAGGCCGCAAGGUGCUGACGAGUGGCGAACGGGUGAGUAAUGCAUCGGAACGUGCCCAGUCGUGGGGGAUAACGCAGCGAAAGCUGUGCUAAUACCGCAUACGAUCUAUGGAUGAAAGCGGGGGACCGUAAGGCCUCGCGCGAUUGGAGCGGCCGAUGUCAGAUUAGGUAGUUGGUGGGGUAAAGGCCUGCCAAGCCGACGAUCUGUAGCUGGUCUGAGAGGACGACCAGCCACACUGGGACUGAGACACGGCCCAGACUCCUACGGGAGGCAGCAGUGGGGAAUUUUGGACAAUGGGCGCAAGCCUGAUCCAGCAAUGCCGCGUGCAGGAAGAAGGCCUUCGGGUUGUAAACUGCUUUUGUACGGAACGAAACGGUCUGGGUUAAUACCCUGGGCUAAUGACGGUACCGUAAGAAUAAGCACCGGCUAACUACGUGCCAGCAGCCGCUGUAAUAC